UGACUGACAUACAUGCUUAAUUCAAACUAAAUAGCCUAUAAAACAAGUUCCCUAAGGCUAAUAAUAAUAAUAUCAGGAGAAAUGAAUAUAGGGAUGAUUGAAUACAGGAUACGCUGAAGAGCGAAUAUGGAAUAUAGAUACAUAUCGCGCUAGCAAGAAUGGGCUGGUGUUUAUGGUCUGCUCAAAAGUCCAAUCCAUCAUCUGACCAGAGGAUGUAAUGCAGUUAGAAUCAAAAAGGAUGGCUCUGUUCAAAGCAAUAGAUGCCCAUUAUAAACCAGCAAAUGCAAAUAAUCAAUCAAAAGCAGCAAGCGAGCAAAAGGGGAAUAUCAUCAAGCAAUAAUUCAGAUCACAGCUGUGAUUAUGAGCAAUAACCUUAAAUCUGCUAUUUAAUUAAUAUUAAGCUUCUGACACCUUCUAGGAUGGGAGCACACAGACCUUCUCAGCCUAAUAUGAUGGUAGUAAGACAUAACGUUAUGCUCCUUACAUAUUUAAGGCAGCGAAUUAACCAUUUAUGGAUCCCUCAUCAAAAGCUUUAAGGAGCUCCUGUCCAAGGCUGGUGACUGAAGGGCAGCAUGAAGGUGCUGAGCUCAAGCACCCAGCUUAGCUAAGACAGUCCGAUGUUUUCGGUAACCUCGUGUACCCCUGGAGAAGUGGGCCCACCUGCUCCUGUGGCUUGGAUGGUCAAAUGCUUUUUCCAGGGUUCAUCAAAGGCCCUUCCCUGCCUGGAUGUCCUUGCUGGAAAGACUCGAGCCUGGAGCAUCCCCAGCCGGGAGGAAUGGAGCACCACGAGGGGCGGAUUCGGUUCUGGUGUUGGUCUCAUGGCAAGGAGGGACCAAAAGCAAGCCUAUGGUGUAGCAUCUUGUCAUUCGGCUGUGAGAAAGGUACUGGGAACCCCGGUGUUCACCCAGGCUCCGCAGUCGCUUCUCUGCUGGGUACGUGCUGCUGUGCUUCUGGACAGCCCGCCUGGCACCCUGCUGGGCUUUCCCUCUCUUUCUUAGAGAAACCUUGUCAUCAGCAGUCACUUCUUCCUCCCGUGUCUGCUCACAAUCGGAGAAGAAGCUGUAGUCAUUGUUUUGCCUGCCCUGCAACUUUAU